ACUCCUACGGGAGGCAGCAGUAGGGAAUCUUCCACAAUGGGCGCAAGCCUGAUGGAGCAACACCGCGUGAGUGAAGAAGGGUUUCGGUUCGUAAAGCUCUGUUGUUAAAGAAGAACACGUAUGAGAGUAACUGUUCAUACGUUGACGGUAUUUAACCAGAAAGUCACGGCUAACUACGUGCCAGCAGCCGCGGUAAUACGUAGGUGGCAAGCGUUAUCCGGAUUUAUUGGGCGUAAAGAGAGUGCAGGCGGUUUUCUAAGUCUGAUGUGAAAGCCUUCGGCUUAACCGGAGAAGUGCAUCGGAAACUGGAUAACUUGAGUGCAGAAGAGGGUAGUGGAACUCCAUGUGUAGCGGUGGAAUGCGUAGAUAUAUGGAAGAACACCAGUGGCGAAGGCGGCUACCUGGUCUGCAACUGACGCUGAGACUCGAAAGCAUGGGUAGCGAACAGGAUUAGAUACCCUGGUAGGAUAGCG
rnacentral:rRNA from 1 species